AAUCCAUAGGUUAAUGAGGCGAACCGGGGGAACUGAAACAUCUAAGUACCCCGAGGAAAAGAAAUCAACCGAGAUUCCCCCAGUAGCGGCGAGCGAACGGGGAGGAGCCCAGAGCCUGAAUCAGCAUGUGUGUUAGUGGAAGCGUCUGGAAAGGCGCGCGAUACAGGGUGACAGCCCCGUACACAAAAGCGCAUGUGCUGUGAGCUCGAUGAGUAGGGCGGGACACGUGGUAUCCUGUCUGAAUAUGGGGGGACCAUCCUCCAAGGCUAAAUACUCCUGACUGACCGAUAGUGAACCAGUACCGUGAGGGAAAGGCGAAAAGAACCCCGGCGAGGGGAGUGAAAAAGAACCUGAAACCGUGUACGUACAAGCAGUGGGAGCC
rnacentral:rRNA from 2 species